GCCCUCAGAGUGUUGUAGUCAGCAUGCUCGACUGGUAUACGAGAGAUCCGUGGUUCGAGUCCCUGCGAAGGCA
rnacentral:tRNA from 1 species